AUGCACGCUGGCGGCGUGCUUAACCCCUGCAGGUCGAACGAAGCACUUUAUUUGAUUUCCUUCGGGACUGAUUAUUUUGUGACUGAGUGGCGGACGGGUGAGUAACGCGUGGGUAACCUGCCUUGUACAGGGGGAUAACAGUUGGAAACGGCUGCUAAUACCGCAUAAGCGCACGGCAUCGCAUGAUGCAGUGUGAAAAACUCCGGUGGUAUAAGAUGGACCCGCGUUGGAUUAGCUAGUUGGUGAGGUAACGGCCCACCAAGGCGACGAUCCAUAGCCGACAUGAGAGGGUGACCGGCCACAUUGGGACUGAGACACGGCCCAAACUCCUACGGGAGGCAGCAGUGGGGAAUAUUGCACAAUGGGCGAAAGCCUGAUGCAGCGACGCCGCGUGAGCGAAGAAGUAUUUCGGUAUGUAAAGCUCUAUCAGCAGGGAAGAUAAUGACGGUACCUGACUAAGAAGCACCGGCUAAAUACGUG
rnacentral:rRNA from 1 species